AACGUUUCAAAUAAUAAAUUCUCGAUUACUUUUGAAGUUGAAAGUAUAACUUGUCUGGUUCGAGGACUUAUAGUUAGAUGCCUCGAUUACUUUUAAAGUUAAAAGUAUAACUUUUCGGGUCUGAGGACUUAUAGUCAGGUGCCUCAUUCACUUUUAAUGAUAAAGUGUAACACUCGGGUGCCUCGUCACUUGAGUCGUCCAAUUUCUUGGCAAGUGCAGAUGACCUUGUUGUCCUUUCUUUCAGAAUAUCCGAGCCAAGGACCUUGUUAAGGUGAAAUGGCUCGGAAUAAAUUCUUCCUCCUUGUGGUGUUGUCCUUUCUUUCAGAAUAUUCGAGCCAAGGACCUUGUUAAGGUGAAAUGGCUUGGAAUAAAUCCUUCCUCUUUGCGGUGUUGCCUUCUCUUUGAGACUAUCCGAGCCAAGAUUCCUGUUAAGGUGAAAUGACACGGAAUAGAUGUUUCCUCGUUGCGGUGUUGUGGUCCGAAAAAAAAAAAAUACUACAAUCACUUGAAAAAAAAAAAACAGUCACGAAUAAUUACACAAACAGAAAACCAUUUAUAUUCCCACCAUUUCGUACUGGUAGAAAGGAAAGAUAGUUAAUUGAAUUUGUGCUUAGUGAAUUUAAAGAGUACCCAGAGAUCCAUAGAACUGAACAAAAUUUAGAUGAUGCUGAAGACAUUGAUGACCCUGAGGAGCAUGAAAUUGAAGAUGUUUCUGUACAAUACAUACAUGAUGAUUUUGGGGAGUAUGAAAGUGAAGAUGACUUUGAUGCGAUGGAAGAUCUUAAGGAAAAAGUUAAUGGAAGUGUACCUGGUCAUGGAAUUGAAGUUGAGUCCGAGCGAUGUUUAGAUCAGUUGAUUGGAAACGGGCACCAUAUAAAAAGUCAGACAUGCAGAAAACUUCUUUCUCCUGAGCUAGAAUUAUCUCUAAAUCUCCAACCUUCCCAACUUCAGGAUUUGAAAGAUCACAAGGAUCUGCGCAUGGGUGAAACAACUUUUUAUGCACGUUGGAAGCAUACAAGAAUCAUUUUCGGUUGCUACAGUCAUUGUUCAACAUGAUUUGUUUUGGAACAACCAUGUUCGGUCCUCUGAUUACGCUAGGCAAGUGAUUAUCCGGAUAUCUAUACAAAUUAUACAAGUGAUAUAUAUAUUGGGAAGAUUUGAUCUUGUUUUUAAAAUAAAAU
rnacentral:lncRNA from 1 species